rnacentral:rRNA from 1 species
ACGCUCGACACCUACGGGGCAGCAGUAGGGAAUCUUCCACAAUGGGCGCAAGCCUGAUGGAGCAACACCGCGUGAGUGAAGAAGGGUUUCGGCUCGUAAAGCUCUGUUGUUGGAGAAGAACGUGCGUGAGAGUAACUGUUCACGCAGUGACGGUAUCCAACCAGAAAGUUACGGCUAACUACGUGCANCAGCCGACGGUAAUCUGAGGCGGGCGUGGCGAAGGC